UACGAGGGGGGCGAGCGUUGUUCGGAAUUAUUGGGCGUAAAGGGUGCGUAGGCGGCCUGACAAGUCUGAUGUGAAAUCCCUGGGCUCAACCCAGGGCCUGCACGAGAAACUGCCGGGCUUGAGUAUGGGAGAGGUGAGUGGAAUUUCCGGUGUAGCGGUGAAAUGCGUAGAUAUCGGAAGGAACACCUGUGGCGAAAGCGGCUCACUGGACCAUAACUGACGCUGAGGCACGAAAGCUAGGGGAGCAAACAGG
rnacentral:rRNA from 1 species